rnacentral:tRNA from 1 species
GGGGUUCUAGCUCAUCGGUAGAGCGCUCGCUUAGCAUACCACAUGUAACUGCGAGAGGUACAGGAUUCGACUCCCUGGUACUCCA